rnacentral:rRNA from 1 species
AAUGAACGCUGGCGGCAGGCCUAAAACAUGCAAGUCGAACGCUGUAGCAAUACAGAGCGGCGCACGGGUGAGUAACAUGUGGGAAUAUGCCUUUUGGUACGGAACAACGUUUGGAAACGAACGCUAAUACCGUAUGGUCCCUUCGGGGUAAAGAUUUAUCGCCAAAAGAUUAGCCCGCACUAGAUUAGCUAGUUGGUAAGGUAAUGGCUUACCAAGGCGACGAUCUAUAGCUGGUCUGAGAGGACGAUCAGCCACACUGGGACUGAGACACGGCCCAGACUCCUACGGGAGGCAGCAGUUAGGAAUAUUGGACAAUGGGCGCAAGCCUGAUCCAGCCAUGCCGCGUGAGUGAUGAAGGCCUUCGGUUGUUAAAC